GGUUAAGCGACUAAGCGUACACGGUGGAUGCCCUGGCAGUCAGAGGCGAUGAAGGACGUGCUAAUCUGCGAAAAGCGCCGGCGAGGUGAUAUGAACCUUUGACCCGGCGAUGUCCGAAUGGGGAAACCCAGUGUGAUUCGUCACACUAUCGUUAACUGAAUACAUAGGUUAACGAGGCGAACCGGGGGAACUGAAACAUCUAAGUACCCCGAGGAAAAGAAAUCAACCGAGAUUCCCCCAGUAGCGGCGAGCGAACGGGGAGCAGCCCAGAGUCUGAAUCAGCUUGUGUGUUAGUGGAAGCGUCUGGAAAGUCGCACGGUACAGGGUGACAGUCCCGUACACGAAAACACACAGGUUGUGAACUCGAAGAGUAGGGCGGGACACGUGGUAUCCUGUCUGAAUAUGGGGGGACCAUCCUCCAAGGCUAAAUACUCCUGACUGACCGAUAGUGAACCAGUACCGUGAGGGAAAGGCGAAAAGAACCCCGGCGAGGGGAGUGAAAAAGAACCUGAAACCGUGUACGUACAAGCAGUGGGAGCACCCUUGUGGUGUGACUGCGUACCUUUUGUAUAAUGGGUCAGCGACUUAUAUUCUGUAGCAAGGUUAACCGUAUAGGGGAGCCGAAGGGAAACCGAGUCUUAACUGGGCGUUAAGUUGCAGGGUAUAGACCCGAAACCCGGUGAUCUAGCCAUGGGCAGGUUGAAGGUUGGGUAACACUAACUGGAGGACCGAACCGACUAAUGUUGAAAAAUUAGCGGAUGACUUGUGGCUGGGGGUGAAAGGCCAAUCAAACCGGGAGAUAGCUGGUUCUCCCCGAAAGCUAUUUAGGUAGCGCCUCGUGAACUCAUCUUCGGGGGUAGAGCACUGUUUCGGCUAGGGGGCCAUCCCGGCUUACCAACCCGAUGCAAACUACGAAUACCGAAGAAUGUUAUCACGGGAGACACACGGCGGGUGCUAACGUCCGUCGUGAAGAGGGAAACAACCCAGACCGCCAGCUAAGGUCCCAAAGUCAUGGUUAAGUGGGAAACGAUGUGGGAAGGCACAGACAGCCAGGAUGUUGGCUUAGAAGCAGCCAUCAUUUAAAGAAAGCGUAAUAGCUCACUGGUCGAGUCGGCCUGCGCGGAAGAUGUAACGGGGCUAAACCAUG
rnacentral:rRNA from 1 species